rnacentral:snoRNA from 1 species
ACAAACUUAUACUUAAACAAGAUUUAUUCUAUAUGAUCGUAUGUGUUCUUGAUUUUUAAGGAAACAUGAAUAUAAAUCUGGUGGAUGGAUUAUGAUGUGUGAUCAACGGUGCUGUGGUGAGACCCUAUGGGGGAUCAUCACUGGCUAUAAAUGAUCGUUCUUAGCUAUCCCUGCCCAGUUGAAUUAACUUAACAGAUU